GAGAGCCAGUGGGGGAGGGGCAGAGAGAGAGGGAGACAGAGAGUCUAAGCAGGCUCCAGGCUCCACACUGUCAGCACAGAGCCUGAUGUGGGGCUCGAACUCACGAACUCUGAGAUCAUGACCCAAGCCAAAGUCAGAUGCUUAACUGACUAAGCUACCCAGGCACCCUGAAGGUCUCACCUUUAGAAGCCUUGAGAGACACAUCAGAGCCCUGGGCACUGUCACAGCCACAGUACAACAGGACGUGGUCAGAGCCUCCAGGAGAUGAGACAAGGGAGCUAUGGGGUGGGUGAGCUCCUCAUGGGGCCCCGUCUGCACUACCCAGGGUCUCAGGGAUCACCCCGUCCAUACUUACUUGCAGACUGAGUGUAGCUCCAUCUUUUCCCCUGUGAGAACAAAACAUCGUGUCAGAGGCCAGGGAGAAGGCUUGGGCCCUGACGUCCUAAAGGGGCCCCUGAAAUUUUGGCCUCCAAAGAAAUUUCCAGAACUUUAACUACAGACCUAGGGCAAGAUUACACAAUGUGAGGUAAGAGGACAUGUGGAAACUAGAUCAAAGCUUCCUGGAGGUCUGUGUGCAGCAGGGCCUCCCCUCUGUCCUGUGACUGCUGGGAAUCAGGUCCCAUCACCAGAAGCAUCGAGGUGAACGUUUUGUCUCUUUUUCAGGUGUGAUUUUCGAAAGAGUAUUAGCAAACAAGGUCCAACUGGGUGAGCACAUGUGUGUGGAUGGUGCCUCUCAGGACUGAGGCAAGACACUGGAAAAUUACAUAUGGCUUGAACCCCUCCCCCCUCCCCCCAUCACUCUCCCUGCAACCUCGUGCAAGAAAACUCUGACCUCACCCCUUUCCCUGUGGGAGCUCUUCCUCCUCCAGGUCCCAGGUCCAGUGGCCACAGCUCCAAGGACAGCCAGACCAGCAAUGAUUCCCAUGAUGGGGAUGUUGGAGUGAUGCAGGGGCUCUGGGAACGAAAGGGAAGGCUGACGGGAUCCUGUAGCCUCCCGUGCUGCACAGGCACGUGUAUCUCUGCUCCUCUCCCAGAAGGCACCACUACAGCCGCCCAUUUCUGGAAGGUCCCGGCUCGGCAGGCCUGGUGUCCACAAGCUCCGUGUCCUGGGUCAGGACCUCACACUGCCAGGUCACAGUAAUCUCUGUCCAGUAGAAGCCCACAGCCCUUCACUUCAGGGUCCCCUCAUGGUCAGAGAUGGGGUGGCAGGUCACAUGUGUCUGUGGAGGAUCUGAGGAGAAGGGUCAGAGACUUUAGGAACUUUGCAUCAUCCCCCGGGGGCCACCGAAGCAGCACUCAUGUGACCAUGCUGAGAAUGGAGAGGACAAUGGGGUGGGCAAGGGAGUGCAAGACUCACAUCCCAGCCUGAGCUCCAGGAUCUCGGAUAACUUCCCAUCCCUUGGGAAGGUCUGGAGGCAGGGUAAGUAAGACAGCCUAGGGGAGGAGGCUCAGGGUCCCUGAGUGAGGGAACAGAGACUUCUAGUCCUGACCUGGUAGAGGAGGCCCAGUGGCUAAAACACCUGGAGUCAGCCCUCCAAUGAAGUUGGGCAUGGGACAGAGAGCAAGGCCUGAGGGAGGAUGUCACCUGGGAGUGCCCAAGGUGAAUACCAGGGUCAAGGAAACCUGCUAUUGAAUUCUUUUAGAGAUAUGUCUCUCCACAGAGACUGGAUCCCCUCUGUCCUGAGAGAAGGAUGGGUCCUGCGAGCCAGUCUCUCUCUGACACAGGAUCUGAAAACCCAGGGGAACUCCUCACCCUCAGGACCCAAGGAGGGGGACAGGGAAGAAUUCUGGUGUCAAUCCUAUUUUCCUCCCUUUCGGUGGGGCCAGCAGGAGGUACAGCACCUGCCCCAGGGGAGAUCAGGAGGCCUGGCGGCCCCACACACCUGCUUCCUACAAGGUCUCUUUCCCUUUCUCUAGGUACAGGUGGAGCCCCAGCACGUACUCCCUCUGCAGGUAACACCCGGUAGUGCUUGGCUGCUCAGGCCGCCUCCCACUGGCCCCCAGGAUCCGAACCGCCUCCUCCGCUGCCCUCCAGGAGUGCAGGUCCUCCUUCAGGGGGCUGUAAUCGGCGCCCUCCUAGCGAAUUGCUCACACCCGCCGAGGUGGUUCGCAUCGAACCCUAAGUUGCAGCCAGAAGUCCCUUGGACGUGGCGGAGGGCGGUGUGCAGGUUCGGUCGGGAGGUCUGUGCGUCCACCUUGGCGAUCUCCGUCUGCUCGUCCCAAACUGUGUCCCUCCUGCUCCACCCACGGCGCCCACAGCUCUACCCUCGGACUCGCGGCGUCGCUGUGGAAUCGCAGGAACUGCGUGUGGUCCACUUGGCCCACCGAGACGUACAGCGCCUCCCCGCGACCGGUCCGGGACACCGCGGUGUGGAAACACCUCAGGGAGUGGGAACUGUGGGCACAACGGGGCUGAGACCCCGCCCGACCCUCCUCCAGGCCCGGAGCCGGGUCCCAGAUGGAGGCAGCCUGGAGGGCAGGGCGAGGGGCACUCCACGGGG